rnacentral:rRNA from 1 species
UACGAAGGGGGCUAGCGUUGUUCGGAAUCACUGGGCGUAAAGCGCACGCAGGCGGGUCGUUAAGUCAGGGGUGAAAUCCCGAGGCUCAACCUCGGAACUGCCUUUGAUACUGGCGACCUUUGAGUCCGGGAGAGGUGAGUGGAACUCCGAGUGUAGAGGUGAAAUUCGUAGAUAUUCGGAAGAACACCAGUGGCGAAGGCGGCUCACUGGCCCGGUACUGACGCUCAGGUGCGAAAGCGUGGGGAGCAAACAGG